rnacentral:rRNA from 1 species
CCCUUAGAUGUUCUGGGCCGCACGCGCGCUACACUGACGAAUGCAACGAGCUUAUAACCUUGGCCGAAAGGUCUGGGUAAUCUCCAAAUUUCGUCGUGAUGGGGGUAGAUUAUUGCAAUUAUUAAUCUUCAACGAGGAAUGCCUAGUAAGCGCAAGUCAUCAGCUUGCGUUGAUUACGUCCCUGCCCUUUGUACACACCGCCCGUCGCUCCUACCGAUUGAAUGGUCCGGUGAAGCGUUCGGACCGUGGCCUUUGGACGGUUCGCCGUCUGUUGGCUGCGGGAAGUUCGUUAAACCUUAUCAUUUAGAGGAAGGAGAAGUCGUANCA